CGGACGGGUGAGUAACGCGUGAGAAUGUACCCCAAACUGAGGGAUAAGCGCCAGAAAUGGUGUCUAAUACCGCAUGUGCUCUACGGAGUAAAGCUUCGGCGGUUUGGGAACAGCUUGCGUCCGAUUAGCUAGUUGGUAAGGUAAUGGCUUACCAAGGCGACGAUCGGUAGCUGGUCUGAGAGGAUGAUCAGCCACACUGGGACUGAGACACGGCCCAGACUCCUACGGGAGGCAGCAGUAGGGAAUUUUCCACAAUGGGGGCAACCCUGAUGGAGCAACGCCGCGUGCAGGAUGAAGGCCUUCGGGUUGUAAACUGCUUUUGUCUGCGACGAAUAUGACGGUAGCAGACGAAUGCGGAUCGGCUAACUACGUGCCAGCAGCCGCGGUCAUACGUAGGAUCCAAGCGUUAUCCGGAUUUACUGGGCGUAAAGAGUUGCGUAGGUGGCAGGGUAAGUUAGUAGUGAAAGCGUGUGGCUCAACCAUAUACACAUUACUAAAACUGCUCAGCUUGAGGACGAGAGAGGUCACUGGAAUUCCAAGUGUAGGAGUGAAAUCCGUAGAUAUUUGGAGGAACACCGAUGGCGUAGGCAGGUGACUGGCUCGUUCCUGACACUAAGGCACGAAAGCGUGGGGAGCAAAUGGGAUUAGAUACCCCAGUAGUC
rnacentral:rRNA from 1 species